rnacentral:rRNA from 1 species
AGCGAACGCUGGCGGCAGGCCUAACACAUGCAAGUCGAACGGAGCCUUCGGGCUUAGUGGCGGACGGGUGAGUAACACGUGGGAACGUACCUUUUGGUUCGGAAUAACGCAGAGAAAUUUGCGCUAAUACCGAAUGAGCCCUUCGGGGGAAAGAUUUAUCGCCGAAAGAUCGGCCCGCGUUGGAUUAGGUAGUUGGUGUGGUAAAGGCGCACCAAGCCUACGAUCCAUAGCUGGUCUGAGAGGAUGAUCAGCCACACUGGGACUGAGACACGGCCCAGACUCCUACGGGAGGCGGCAGUGGGGAAUCUUGCGCAAUGGGCGAAAGCCUGACGCAGCCAUGCCGCGUGAAUGAUGAAGGUCUUAGGAUUGUAAAAUUCUUUUACCAGGGACGAUAAUGACGGUACCUGGAGAAAAAGCCCCGGCUAACUUCGUGCCAGCAGCCGCAGUAAGAC